UGGAACAAUCAAGUUACCUUGAUUGUGCUGGAGCUUGUAAGAUCUCAAAAGCUAAACAGGUUUGAGCCUGGAUAAUACUUGGAUGGAGGACUGCUUGGGAAUGUUAGGCAUUAUAGGAC
rnacentral:rRNA from 1 species